UUGUUUUUGUAGCUUGUAGAUAUAAAUUGGUACUCUCUCCUUGAAGGGCAGUUAAAAAUAAUGACACAUUUAAAAUACAUGUAACUUUUGAUCCAGCAAUUCUAUUUACCCCGCAAGUGUACCCCCCGUGCUUGAAAAGGUGGAUCUAUAAUAAUGUUAUGACAGUAAAAGACUAAAAACAACCUAAAUGUCUACAUGGUACAUCCAUACAAUGAAAUUCUAUUCAGCCGUUAGAAAGAGAGUACAGUUGACCCUUGAACAGCAUAGGGGUUGGGCGUAUGACCUCCCCUGCUGUCAAAAAUUCCUAUGUAAAUUUUGACUCUCCCUAACUUAACUCUCAAUAGCCGGCUGCCAACUGGAAGCCUGACUGAUCAUGUGAACGUAACACAUAGUGUGUAUUCUCUAUAUAUUAUAUACUGUAUUCUUACAAUAAGGUAAGCUAAAGAAAAUGUUAUUAAGAAAAUCAUGGGCAGCCGCCGGCAGUGGCCGAGGAGGCGGCGCGGCGGACGGCGGCCAGAGAGUAGCGCGCCCAGCGCUGCGGCCCGCGGGACCGCGCCGCGACCGCCUGGGCCAGCCCCGAGGAGCUCCCGCCGCUGCUGCUGUCGCCGCUGCGCGGAGCGAGGAAAUGUGGGACAUGUGGAUUUGGGAUAUAAAUUCAUUUGAAAAACCACUUUGGGGUUAUGAACGUGAUUUCUGAUGAAACUGGAUUGGAAUAAUUUUCAUGACCUUUGUAUAUUUAUAUAUACAUAUUUUAAAAUUUUGCAUUUGACUUAAGUGCCAUGAGAAAAUUUGCAUAUGGCAAGGUGGUCCUAGCCACCUCCUUGAUUUGGGUACUCUUGGAUAUGUUCCUGCUGCUUUACUUCAGUGAAUGCAACCAAUAUGAUGAAAGAAAGGAGCGAGGACUUCCUGCUGGGGAUGUUCUAGAGCCAAUACAAAAGCCUCAUGAAGGUCCUGGAGAAAUAGGGAAACCAGUCAUCAUUCCUAAAGAGGAUCCAGAGAAGAUGAAAGAGAUGUUUAAAAUCAAUCAGUUCAGUUUAAUGGCGAGUGAGAUGAUGGCACUCAACAGAUCUUUACCAGAUGUCAGGUUAGAAGGGUGUAAAACAAAGGCGUAUCCAGAUAAUCUUCCUACAACCAGUGUGGUGAUUGUUUUCCACGACGACGAGGCUUGGAGCACACUUCUGCGAACUGUCCAGAGUGUCAUUAAUCGCUCACCAAGACACAUGCUAGAAGAAAUUGUUCUAGUAGAUGAUGCCAGUGAAAGAGACUUUUUAAAAAGACCUCUGGAGAGUUACAUGAAAAAAUUAAAAGUACCAGUUCAUGUAAUUCGAAUGGAACAACGUUCUGGCUUGAUCAGAGCUAGCUUAAAAGGAGCUGCUGUGUCUAAAGGCCAAGUGAUCACCUUCUUAGAUGCUCACUGUGAAUGUACACUGGGAUGGCUGGAGCCUGUCUUAGCCAGAAUCAAACAUGACGGGAAAACAGUGGUCUGUCCUAUCACUGAUGUGAUCAGUGAUGAUACUUUUGAGUACAUGGCAGGCUCUGAUAUGACCUGUGGUGGCUUCAACUGGAAGCUUAAUUUCCGCUGGUAUCCAGUUCCCCAAAGAGAGACGGACCGAAGGAAAGGUGAUCAGACUGUUCCUGUCAGAACACCUACAAUGGCAGGAGGCCUUUUUUCAAUAGACCGAGAUUACUUUCAGGAAAUUGGAACAUACGAUGCCGGAAUGGAUAUUUGGGGAGGAGAAAACCUAGAAAUUUCCUUUAGGAUCUGGCAAUGUGGAGGGACUUUAGAGAUCGUCACCUGCUCACAUGUUGGACGCGUGUUUCGGAAAGCCACACCUUACACGUUUCCAGGAGGCACAGGACAGAUUAUCAAUAAAAAUAACAGACGACUUGCAGAAGUGUGGAUGGAUGAGUUCAAGAAUUUCUUCUAUAUAAUUUCUCCAGGUGUUACAAAGGUAGAUUAUGGAGAUAUAUCAUCAAGACUUGGUUUAAGACACAAACAACAAUGCAAACCUUUCUCCUGGUACCUAGAGAAUAUUUAUCCUGAUUACCAGAUUCCACGUCACUAUUUCUCUUUGGGAGAGAUACGAAAUGUGGAAACAAAUCUGUGUCUAGAUAACAUGGCCAGAAAAGAGAAUGAAAAAGUUGGAAUUUUUAACUGUCAUGGUAUGGGAGGUAACCAGGUUUUCUCUUAUACUGCCAACAAAGAAAUUAGAACAGAUGACCUUUGCUUGGAUGUCUCUAAACUUAAUGGCCCAGUCACAAUGCUCAAAUGCCACCACCUAAAAGGCAACCAACUUUAGGAGUAUGAUCCAGUGAAAUUAACCCUGCAGCAUGUGAACAGUAACCAGUGCCUGGAUGAAGCCACAGAAGAGGAUAGCCAGGUGCCCAGCAUAAGAGACUGCAAUGGAAGCCGGUCCCAGCAGUGGCUUCUUCGAAAUGUCACCCUUCCAGAAAUAUUCUGAGACCAAGUUUACAAAAAAAAAAAAGAAAGAAAGAAAAGAAAAGAAAAAAAUAAAAAAAUAAAGGAUUGGGCUACCUCAGCAUACAUUUCUGCCACAUUCUUAAAUAGCAAAAAAGGAAAAGUGCUUUCCUCCUCCGGGGAUGUAAGGUUUAUCAGCCAUUAAAACUAAGACUCUUCUCGCUUUUCACUAGCUGUGAACCAGCCUUCUUGUCCAAAGGACGUGAAACUACAUAGUAGCGAGACUGUGCACACUGAUGUUUACAAGAUUGGAAGAGUCAUAAGAGUCAUCAAGAAUCAUGGUAAAGAAUAUUCAGACAAUGAUGCAGUCAACACAAUGUGCUUUCCGGAGCUGCCCCUCAUACGGUUUGCUUGCACGUCAGUAACUGCUGCUGAACGUGCGAUCCUAAUGAAGAGAUUUCCAAGAUUUUUUUUCUGAUUAGACCUGGUAACCAGUAUAUUAAAUAUUGAUGUAAAAAUAAGUGAAAAAGAACUGGAACCAGUUUCAGAAUCCGGAAAACAACAUUUUUACGAUUUAAGAAGAAACUAUAUUAAACAGGGUUUAAAGGAAAUUAAAACAGAAGUAUCAGAAGUACAAUUUGUUGUAGUAUAGUAUCAAAUUUCUACAUAGAUUUUAUACCUCAGUGGGGAAAAAUAACUGAUUGCAGUGACAUUCAUUUUCAUCUGUGAUAGUCAUGGAUGCUUUUUUCCCCCCCUUGGGGUGCUGAAAUUGAGUUGAAAAAAAAAAGUGGCUCUUUGAACAUAGUUUUAAUCGCUUUCUUCAAUUUUGUAUUUAGUUUAUGGGCUGUUGGAAUUGUAAUUUUUAAUUGCUUUCAGAGAAUGAAGAUUUAACAUAAUGUCUGGUCUCACUGAACACGUUAGAUCUCUCAGUUGCUCUUGGGUCAGCUGGCUUGUAGACUUUCACAUACAAAUUUCUUCUUAGAUCUUGAACUUCUUCACUUGAUUCAGCUGAUUAUGCUUAAUACCCAAGAUUCAUUCUACUGUAUUACAGAUUUAUUUUCACAGCAAUAAAUCUUCAGUUCUUUAUGAUUCCACUCAACAAAAGGCCUGCAGAAGUGAUUAUUUGGAUAUUUAGAGAGGAUACGAUGGAUGUUUUUUUGGAAAACUAUUUUCACUCCAUACUCAGAUGUGCUUUAUUGUCAAGUGCAUAUUUAGAUUAGGUUCUUGAAUUGUAAUGGUGAUCUGCUGCCCUUUUUUUUUUUUUUAAUAAAAUUUGACUGAAAAUGUUUGACCUUGUUUUAAUGAGUUAACCGAAGAACUGCAGCUACUGCUCCACAUUAGUCCUGCAUUUCUUCCGUUUAGGUUAAAUCCAUUUUAUUUUUUUUCUGAUUUUUAAUACCACAAAAUAACUUCAGAAUCAAUUAAAAGUUGAGUUAAUUUCAUUAAAAAAAAGAGCAUCAUAAGAAAGAGAAAUACAUUU